GAUAUUUACCCAUAAAAGACGGACCUAAAGAUCGUAUCCAGUCUCCAGUCUCUGCUCUCUUCUUCUCAGAAGAUGGCGGCUUUGCAUGCGAAGGUGCGACCCUUCAAAACCCUAGACCUCUAUCCGAAGAGAUCCGGUCAUCCGCGGACUUGCGCGCGCUUCCGCUGCUCCGCCGCCGCGCCACCGCGGCCCAGGAGCUACAGCGUCACCAUCCUCCCCGGCGACGGCAUCGGGCCCGAGGUCGUCUCCGUCGCCAAGGACAUCCUCUCCGUUGCUGGCUCCCAUGAAGGAAUCGAGUUUAGAUUCCGGGAGAUGCCGGUCGGCGGCGCGGCGAUCGACUCGGUUGGUGUUCCGCUGCCGGAGGAGACUCUCGCCGCUGCUAAGGAGUCGGACGCGGUUCUUUUGGGAGCCAUUGGAGGGUACAAAUGGGAUGGGAAUGAGAAACAUCUGAAGCCUGAAACUGGGUUGCUGCAGCUACGGGCAGGGCUUGGUGUUUUUGCGAACUUAAGGCCAGCUGCUGUGUUGCCACAGCUAGUUGACUCAUCAACCCUCAAGAAGGAGGUUGCUGAAGGAGUUGACAUCAUGGUUGUAAGAGAGCUUACUGGAGGAAUCUAUUUUGGAAAACCUAGGGGUUUUGGAACCAAUGACAAGGGUGACAACACUGGUUUCAAUACUGAAGUCUAUUCUGCAUCCGAGAUUGAUCGGAUAGCACGUGUGGCAUUUGAGGUUGCUCGAAAACGACGUGGCAAACUAUGCUCUGUUGACAAAGCAAAUGUGUUGGAGGCAUCAAUGCUAUGGAGGAAGAGGGUGACAAUGCUGGCUUCCGAAUUUUCUGACGUUCAGCUCUCCCAUAUGUAUGUUGAUAAUGCUGCAAUGCAACUUAUUCGUGAUCCCAAACAGUUUGACACAAUUGUUACAAAUAAUAUCUUUGGUGAUAUUCUAUCUGAUGAAGCAUCUAUGCUUACUGGAAGCAUUGGUAUGCUUCCAUCUGCCAGUGUUAGUGAAUCAGGUCCUGGCCUUUUUGAACCAAUCCAUGGAUCUGCUCCUGAUAUUGCUGGGCAGGACAAAGCAAAUCCAUUAGCAACAGUCCUUAGUGCUGCAAUGUUAUUGCGGUAUGGCCUUGGUGAAGAGAAUGCCGCAAAGAGGAUCGAGACUGCUGUAAUGGAAACACUAAACAGAGGAUUUCGAACUGGUGACAUCAUUUCUCCGCGCAUGACAUUGGUAGGGUGCAAGAGGAUGGGGGAGGAAGUGCUGAAGUCCGUCGAUUCCCAGAAAGCAUUAACUGCCUCACUCUGAAAUCAUUUGUUCACUGAUAUCACAAAGGGGAGAGUUGCUAGGAAGAUCUUAAACCAAGGAGAUGCAGUACAGGGAAAACUGAUUGAGUCUUUAUUUUUGACUGUCAGAUAUUUGUUUCUGGCAGCAAGACUGCAUCAAUUUCUUUGCAAAUGGAACUGCAUCAAUGCAAAUCAGCAUAUAUCCCAAUCAUGUGGUACCCAGGUCUGGCUCUGCUUGUCUCUAGACUGGGCUUCACCUUGAAAUUGGGUAUGGGCGAUUUCUUCUGUUUUAUGUGAAUAAGCUAGCCGCCAGAUCAGAUCAUUGGCUAUGUUGGGGCGCUGUAUCUGCUCGGUUUGUUUGUUAUCCAAGUGUGUCAAAGGGGUGAUUUAACCAUCCAUUAACUAGUUUGAGCUUAUCGUAGCAAUUGUUUGUUUCA